ensembl:lncRNA
CUUUGAGAUGGAGGCCGGCGCUCUGAGCACUGCCAAAAGCUUUGCUCAAUCUAACCAGGGGAGCAGAUGGUCAGGUCCACCACAGGUCGAGGUAACAAGCAGCAACGCAAAACAUUAGACGUCAUUUUGCAAUUUUAAAUUCACGUCGCCUCUUCCCACCUGCAGGAUGUCGGGGUCCAGGAUUCACAGCCAGCAGCAUGUGGAGCGCAUGUGGCAAUAAAGGAUUUGUUUCUGAAAGACACAUGGAAAAAAACAUCAUCAGGUCAUGUCACCAUGUCACUGGGUGUCUCUGCAGUUCUCACCCUGCGUCUGGC